rnacentral:ncRNA from 1 species
AACCGCUAGGGGAGCACAUCGCUGAGAUUGAAACGCUGCCGCAGGGCAUCGCUUCUAACCCUCACUACUUGAACCGGAUAAUACCGGCGUAAGGAAGCACUUUAUU